rnacentral:tRNA from 1 species
GGAUUGUAGCUUAGUGGUAGAGUGCUUGCCUGGCAUGCAUGGGGCACUGGGUUCGAUUCUCAGCACCA